GAUCAAAGUCCAGGAAACAUUUCAGAAAGAUACAAGGAAGAACACUGCACCAUCGAGACUGAAGACAAUAAAUCUGGUUUUAAAGUUUUUAUUUUGGAGGAAAAGUUGUAGAAUAAUAAUAAUGGAAAAAAAACAAACAUGUAAUAACUCUUAAAUUUGGAGUUUUAUUAGUUUUUUCCUUUAAAGUUGCAACAGAAGCUCAAACCAAAAGAAGCAAAUAAUCAUUUUAAAGAAACGUGAUGAGAUAAUUUCACAGAAAGUUUGAACAGCAGAUCACACAUGAUGUUUGAUUACAGCUGGUUUCAGAAGUUCUGGGUUCAGAACCCUGAAAUCAUUUCAACAUGAAACCAGUUUUUAAUCAACACAGCCACAUUUCCCUUAAACGUCUCAACAGCUAAAAGAUGAAACAUGUUUUCAUGUGAAGAGCAAAACAAAAUGGAAGCAAGAAAAAACCACAGAAUCUGAUUUCUUCUGUCAUAUUUUGUGGCUAAAAUGAAAAUUUGUCAUAAUUAUGGAGUUUUCACAAAGCAACUCUGUCAAAAUCAGUGAAACAUGAAACAGUUCAGGUUAAAACAUGUGAGCUGCAGGUUAUGAGCAGAAAGAUGGAAUAUGAGAGCAGAAACGUUCUGGGUUCUUUCAGUCCAGGCUCCCUUGGUGGAUUUCUUUAACAAACACUUCUUUCUUGAAGUCCUCCAUGGUUUUCUCACAGUUCUCUCCAUAGUAUUUCUUCUCACACUCACACAGGCCAAUGUGGGCGUUCUUCACCUCCACACAUUUUCCUCUUUCUUUACUUCCACAGUUGAUUCCUUCACAUGGAUCCUUAUUCAUCCACACUUCAUCACUUUCAAUCAGAACCCUGAACUGUUUAAAAGGGACAAUGUCUCCUUUGCCAAACACACUGAUGGUGCAUUUCCCAGAGUAAAGGUACGGGAUGGACUGCGUUUCCUCAGGAUCAAACACUUCUUCAGUUGGAGCAGCUUCUGCCUCUAAAGCAUGAACGCUGCCAUGCUCGUUAUGAAUGUAAGCAUGAAUGGCUGAAUACUUGCCCUUCAGAUCAGCACAGCUCUCUAACUUUGCUCUGACUUGAUCGCAGGGCACGGGGUUGCUGUAGCACUUCUUAAUGGCCUCUACCACCUGAGCUGUUUUCUUGUGGUUUCCUUUUGCCUGUUUGGUGAAAGCCACACUAAUUUUCCCUUUGUCUACUGCAGUAAAUCCGGUCAAAAUGUGACUGUUCAGCCAUUUAGUAAUAACACUUUUACGGUUUGAACUUUCAGUUUUAAAAGCAACCACCAUCCAGUUAUAGUGGUAAAAUGUUUUAUCUAAAUACUCCCUGAUGCUCUUUGCCAGAUUCGUUCGCUUCUCUGACUCUGUGAUCUGGUCCAGAAUGUCCAGUUUAACAUACGGAUCAGGUUCUGAAGUGCAGUUCUUGUGGAUCUCAAACAUAGCUGCAGAAAUGUCGCGUGCUUUAUUAGCCAGAGCGUCUUCAUCUGUUUUAAUAUUACUGAAGAGGUUGUAGAAAUUGGUCAUGGUGAUGGCUCUGUGAGCCAGCAGCACAUUAACGGCUGAGAAUAUUUUAAGUCGACGUUCAUCACAUCUCACAUGGUCUUUCAGUAGCUGCAUAUAGUCAGCAUUGUAAACACCUGUACCUGCUAUAUUGUAAUGCAGAUCAUCCACAUACUUUACAGCCUUUUUAAAGUAUUCGUCUAUUAUUUUGUCUUUGCCAUCUUUCCUCAGAUUUUCAAAGCAAGGCUCUUUACAAUCCUUCAGCAGUUCCCCGAGUUUGUUCCAUGCUAUAGUUAUUUUCUUCUCCAACUUUGCAUAAUCACUACUUUUCCAAAUGUUAAACACUAUUUCCUUCUGGUUUUUAUCAAUCUUUACAUUUAGAUUAUCAAAUUUUAACUUGAGAUAAUCUAGAAGCUGUUGUUCUGGAUUUUUACCAGCAAUGACAUUUACAAAACCUAAGAUAGAAGUUAAAUACGACCCAGCAUCUGGAAUGAGACCAAUAAAAGGUUUAACUGCAUUUACAAUCUUCAGAAGAUCUUCAGCUCCAGCCUUUACUUUGUCUGCUGUCUUUCCUCUCUUCUGCAGGUCGGAGCGUGGCGGGCCGCUCAGGCUGCAGGUCAGGAAUGAAGACAGCAGCAGCAGCAGCAGAACCGGGCCAGACGGCACCAUGACUGAGGACAAACACAGGAACGUCAGAGAACCGAUGAUGAGAAACCAAACGUACCGUGAUCUUCAGUUCUGGGUGAUGCUUUUUCUGGAAAG